GGAAAGGCGCGCGAUACAGGGUGACAGCCCCGUACACAAAAAUGCACAUGCUGUGAGCUCGAUGAGUAGGGCGGGACACGUGGUAUCCUGUCUGAAUAUGGGGGGACCAUCCUCCAAGGCUAAAUACUCCUGACUGACCGAUAGUGAACCAGUACCGUGAGGGAAAGGCGAAAAGAACCCCGGCGAGGGGAGUGAAAAAGAACCUGAAACCGUGUACGUACAAGCAGUGGGAGCACAGAGCAAUCUGUGUGACUGCGUACCUUUUGUAUAAUGGGUCAGCGACUUAUAUUCUGUAGCAAGGUUAACCGAAUAGGGGAGCCGAAGGGAAACCGAGUCUUAACUGGGCGUUAAGUUGCAGGGUAUAGACCCGAAACCCGGUGAUCUAGCCAUGGGCAGGUUGAAGGUUGGGUAACACUAACUGGAGGACCGAACCGACUAAUGUUGAAAAAUUAGCGGAUGACUUGUGGCU
rnacentral:rRNA from 1 species